CUUUAAUAUGAAACUCACUGCUUUAUUUUGAAUAGUUUUUUUUUUUUAAUGAUUUCUUAAUUGAUAUGGAGCUUUAUUACUUGUGUUUUCUUUUCCUCGUAUGACUACAAAGAUAAUUAGAUCAUUUCAUUUUGAAAUUUGUUACACUUGUUUUCUUGAUAUGCUUUACUCAAGGGAGGGUCUAUAAGAGCAGUCUCUCUAGCUUCACAAGUCCCACUUGUGGGAUUACACGGGGUAUUUUGUUGUUGAUUUUGAAAUUUAAUGUACUCGGGACGUGUUUUAGGUAGUGGUUCAAUACAUUGCAUUCUCGUGCUCGAUACUGUGGGGGCUAUUGAUUCUCUUGCUAAUUCAUGUUGAACCAAAAGAAACUUAAAGAAACUGAAACAUCCAUCUUUUCUUUUAAUAAACUUAUACAGUGUUGACCUUCAACCAGGUCUCAGGAUUGUCAAUUUUGAUGCUCUUUAUAGGAGCAGUAUUGGAAGCAAAUGAGUUUAGGAACAUUCUAUAUCCAGGGGAAAGUUGGGAUACCCAACUAUGAUGGUGCAAUUAUUUUAGUCAUAGAUAGUUUUGUUGUAUUUUUAAUCUUGGGCAUGUCUUUGCAUAGUUACUGAUGUAAUUUAUUUAUUUCCCUGUAGAUUUAUCGUCCCCAUGUUCCACAUCAUGGUAUUAAUGCUUGCCUCAGGUUUGUUAGAUCUUUGGUGCUGAGUCCAGAAAGUUCUUCGCCCAAAAGCUGCCUGUGGUUCAUAAAAAAAGGAAUUAAGCGCUAGUCUCAUAUUCAUGUCAAGGACAUAUAUAUCAACAGGAAGUUUCCAGGAAUUGACUAAUCUAGCGUAUACCAACUAAAACCCGGUUGAGGGCAUUGUCCAAUGUCAGGUGUUCCGUUGGUAUUUCCUGUCCAUUCUUGUCACCAAAGGAAGAACAAAGAACUUGGCUAAGGUUAGCUAAAAGAUUUGAUGGGGCUAAGGAGGGUUCCAAAAAGAGGAGCUACUUUAGAUGAAUGCUACUGUCAUUGCAGCACUCUUCACUGCUUGCGUGAAAUUGACAUACAUGUAUCCUGUGCGCUUGAGACUUUUUGCAAGACUAUCAAAGGAAUGAAAAGAAGCUGACAGCAUAAUACAGGAGUUGUUUGGGCUAAGAUCAACCUUGAUCAUCAUGAGAACUUUACGGACCAUCCCGAUGUAAGCCCCUUUGACUGGGCUUGCUGGAAAAACCUUUUUUUGUUCUUGAUGAAAGCUAUAUUCUUUAAUCGUAGAUGCACCUUGAGCAUGUUUUGAAGACCAGGAGCCAUUAUUCACUUCUCUUCUCCUUCCAUAGUCUAAGCAAUCAAUUUUGGGGGGAUAAAUCAAUUCUCCAUUUGUAUUUAGAUUUUUGUCUUUGUAUUUUCACAAUUCCAAGCCUUUUUUUUUCAAUUCCUACCUUGAAAGGAACCUACAGUGAAAUACAGGUUUGUGUUCAUUUUUGAAACCAAGCAAGAUAGUGGCUGUCUGAGGAAAAGAUACUUGCUGUUGGUGUUGACAUAAAUAUAGAAGUUCAUUCAUCUGUUUCUGGGGGUCACAAAUUGAUGUGAGAAUACAUAAUGGUAAGUUUAGUGAUAAAAACUUGCAUAAUGAAAAUAUCACGCGGUAUGAGUAAGCUCUCACUUGUUUUCAUUUCAGGGAGGUUUUGAAUCUGAAUGAUGUACAGUUUACCUUAGGUUGUUAAAUGCCUACAUUGAAAUUUUAACACUUUUUUUUGGUUUGGUUA